rnacentral:rRNA from 1 species
GACGAACGCUGGCGGCGUGCUUAACACAUGCAAGUCGAACGGUGACGGAGAGCUUGCUCUCCUGAUCAGUGGCGAACGGGUGAGAAACACGUGGGCAACCUGCCCCAGACUUCGGGAUAACGCUUCGAAAGAGGUGCUAAUACCGAAUACGAACCUCCCUGGCAUCUGGGAGGUUGGAAAGUUUCUCGGUCUGGGAUGGGCCCGCGGCCUAUCAGCUUGUUGGUGAGGUAACGGCUCACCAAGGCGACGACGGGUAGCCGGCCUGAGAGGGCGACCGGCCACACUGGACUGAGACACGGCCCAGACUCCUACGGGAGGCAGCAGUGGGGAAUAUUGCGCAAUGGGCGAAAGCCUGACGCAGCAACGCCGCGUGAGGGAUGACGGCC